AUGUGUCAAUCUGAAUCACUUAACGAGUUUAGGUACUCAAGCUAACAUCUAGCUUCAUGCAGAGUAAAUAUGUGAUUAAAUAACUUGUUAAUUAAAAGGGCUCGGCAGUUUUCCAUUUCUAAGUGCGCUACAGUGGACUUGUCUGUCCCCUAACCUGCUUCGAGAAGGUAACUUUUCACCAUACUUGUAUUUUGUGCAACUGUAUUUUAGUGAUGCUGAUUCGUCUUCUUCAGAUUUGCUUUCUAAAUGCUAUAAUUAUUAACCCUCGCAUACAAAAGUCAACUUCGGGAUCAACAGAUUUGCACGCGCAGUAUUCGCAAUCCGUAGCUUUCCCAUUUAAGGAUGAUUCAAGCGAGUUAAACGGCUGAUCUGAGAGUACCGUACGAAUGUUAUAUGAAUUACCCCAUCGAUUUGUCAGAGUACUCGAGUUUGUUUUUAUUUGUUUAUUUAUUUAUUUUAAAGUAAUGGUCAGUUUGCCCCAAAGGCUACUUUUGAGUUCUUCAUUUGUCUAGUAAAAAUAUGUAUUUUUAAACAAUCACAUCGAUCAGUUAUUCCGUUUUGAGUGAUGUUAACUUCUUUCAUCAUUAUAAAUAGACACAAACUCCUGCUGAACCAAUUAAGAUCACAGGCCUGAGAGUUAAUAGUGGUAAAACGUCCAUCGAUUUCAGUUAUAAGCAUCGCGUUUUGGCAGUGAGGAACGAGAAUUCCAAGGACGAAGCAUUCUAUUGGCCGAAAGCGAGCAAACAGGGAGCAUCUGUAGUUCAAGUGUCGCCCUCGCAAAGAGAAUCUGUUUCUAUAAACAAAGCCACGGUUGUGUGGGGGCGCUGAAAGUCAUAUAUUAUCGCAUUUUUUUUCUUAUUUCAGAAUGGUAUUGAUGCUUUCAACAGGUAAUAAAUCUGCAUUCAUCAGGACUUAAAUUAGAGUGUCAAUAUGACGCCAGUUUGUUUUCUUGCCAAAUUCUGCUGGUUAAAUUGCACAACUGGGUGUCUAAUUUCCUCUGAUAAAUAAAUUCGUUAGAGGCUGUGUCAUUCA